rnacentral:rRNA from 1 species
GACGUAGGGGGCGAGCGUUGUCCGGAAUUACUGGGCGUAAAGGGCGUGUAGGCGGCUUUGCAAGUCAGUAGUGAAAUACCUGGGCUCAACCUAGGCAUUGCUAUUGAAACUGCAUGGCUUGAGGGUAGAAGAGGAGUGUGGAAUUCCCGGUGUAGCGGUGAAAUGCGUAGAAAUCGGGAGGAACACCAGUGGCGAAGGCGACACUCUGGUCUAUCACUGACGCUGAGGCGCGAAAGCUAGGGGAG